AAUCCCUACGGGACGCAGCAGUGAGGAAUAUUGGUCAAUGGCCGGAAGGCUGAACCAGCCAAGUCGCGUGAGGGAAUAAGGCCCUAUGGGUCGUAAACCUCUUUUGUCAGGGAGCAAAGGCGUCCACGAGUGGACGAAAGGAGAGUACCUGAAGAAAAAGCAUCGGCUAACUCCGUGCCAGCAGCCGCGGUAAUACGGAGGAUGCGAGCGUUAUCCGGAUUUACUGGGUGUAAAGGGAGCGUAGACGGCAGCGCAAGUCUGAAGUGAAAUCCCAUGGCUUAACCAUGGAACUGCUUUGGAAACUG
rnacentral:rRNA from 1 species